GGAAUGGGGCCGGAGGUGAAAAUGGGCAGGAGGACUCGGGAGGCUCUCUGGUGGCAGCAGAGCCGGCAUGCUCGUGUUGGCCAUUUCUCAGCUGGGGAAUCCGCCACGGAGAGGUUCCCUUUAGCAAGAGAGGCAGAGGCUCCCUUUCUCAGGUCUUUCAGGGUGCUGUCUGCCUUCCUUCGAGACGUUUCCCCAGGAGGAUGGGCCAAGAGGAGCUCCGUCCGUGCCUCAUCCCGCCCCCGCCCCCAGCCCCAGCCCUCGACUCCCAGCCCCUGUCCAGUCAGGUGAGGCGCCCAGAGUACCUCGUGAGCAGCACCACCGCCUUUCUGACAGUGACUUGUGUGUCCCCCUAGCAACGCACGCCGACGAUGUUGUGGAGGCCGGUGGGAGUGAGAAGACCGAGGCAAAGCCCCGGGCUGGGGACAUGAGGACGAGGCGGCCCCAGUACCUGAGGUGGAGGAGGAGGAGGAGGCGGGCCAGCCCCUUGAAAAUGGCCAGGAGGAGUCCCCAGCCAUCGCCUGGGCCGAGCCGGAAGACGAGCCUGGCCCCAAGGUGGACGGGGCGGACGAUGAAAUCUCUUGGAGCUUGGAGAGUGUGUGUGAGAGCGACCUCGCUGACAGCAACCUCGCAGAAAGUGAUCGAGACUCGGUGGCGGAGCGCACCGACUGCCGCCAGGAUGAGGAGGCUGCAGACUGUUGCUUUGGGAGCAAAGGAUCGUGCUUCAAAAGUCUGAGGACAAGUUUGUCCUCUGCGAGCUUGGCUAGAAUAAUUCCCCGGUGGCCACACAACAGGGUGCACCUUGCCACUGAGCCAGAUGAAGCAACGCACGCCGACGAUGUUGUGGAGGCCGGUGGGAGUGAGAAGACCGAGGCAAAGCCCCGGGCUGGGGGACAUGAGGACGAGGCGGCCCCAGUACCUGAGGUGGAGGAGGAGGAGGAGGCGGGCCGGCCCCUUGAAAAUGGCCAGGAGGAGUCCCCAGCCAUCGCCUGGGCCGAGCCGGAAGACGAGCCUGGCCCCAAGGUGGACGGGGCGGACGAUGAAAUCUCUUGGAGCUUGGAGAGUGUGUGUGAGAGCGACCUCGCUGACAGCAACCUCGCAGAAAGUGAUCGAGGUAAGAACAGCUCUCAGGUAGGAGCCAGUGGGAGAGGGUUCCCGGGACACUUGGAAGUUAGGCCUGCUGCUUGGAGGGUGGGGCGGGUGAGUGUGCAAUUGCAAAAGAGAAAGAAAUUGGUGUAAAGAUGUUCGUCGCCUAUGUUCCUAAGGAGGGGGAGCAGGUAUGAGAUGCCGAAUGUUGGCAUCUGUGCUCACGUUGUGUUGGCGGGCCUCAGUCCCUGGAGCAGAGGGAAGGCCUGGGCACCUGGAGGAAAAACCCGGGUGAUGCUGUGUGACCCGCCGUCACCUCGGGGAAGCCGGGGAAACGGGAGGGCCACUCCUUCUCACGCCUCGCUUCCCCGCGGUGUGUUUCUACAGACUCGGUGGCGGAGCGCACCGACUGCCGCCAGGAUGAGGAGGCUGCAGGUAGGAAGAGCACGCAGCUGGGAUCCAGGGGGAGAGGGUUCCUGGGAGCAGCUGGGUUCCACCUGCUGCCGGGAGAGGGCGGAAGGGGGCUAGGACUUGGGUGGGUGGCCUACUGAGCGGAACUCCGCUGUGGUGUUUUCCCCUCUGAAGUUGCUAAGCCGAAGACGACUUGGGUCCCUGGUCUUUGUUGUGCUGUGUUUGGAUUCGUGUCUCCUUCCUUUGAGAGGGAGAAUGGCUUUUCCCUCCCGAAGCGGCUCCUUCCAGCUCUUGUCUCUGGCCAUGGUGCCAGCUUGCUUUGUGGGUCGCACCCUGAGGGUCCUGUGCACAAGAGCUGUUGACUUAGUUUCCUUUGUUGCCCUUGAGGGCCCUGGUGUGGUGGGACGCAACCCUCUCCUAGGCCCUUGACCCUGGAGACCAAGUUUGCCUGGUGAGUGUCAGGUGGCGGGUGAGAAGGCAGGUCUCUCCCUCUGCACGUUUGGGAUUUCUGGCCUCCCUGUCCUGGUGUGUCCUCGCGGUGUGUCCUGAGGGAAGGGGCGUUCCCAGAGUUGGGAUGCCCAGACCUGGGACGUGAGGCGCAGAGAGAUCUACGUCCCCUUCCCUGGCAUUUUUUUCUUCUACAGGGGAUGUGAGGAG
rnacentral:lncRNA from 9 species